rnacentral:rRNA from 1 species
CAGUCGCCACGGUAAUACGUAGGGUGCGAGCGUUAGUCGGAAUUACUGGGCGUAAAGCGUGCGCAGGCGGUUUGUUAAGACAGAUGUGAAAUCCCCGGGCUUAACCUGGGAACUGCAUUUGUGACUGGCCGGCUAGAGUAUGGCAGAGGGAGGUGGAAUUCCACGUGUAGCAGUGAAAUGCGUAGAUAUGUGGAGGAACACCGAUGGCGAAGGCAGCCUCCUGGGCCAAUACUGACGCUCAUGCACGAAAGCGUGGGGAGCAAACAGGAUUAGAUACCCCGGUAGUCCCUGUCUCUUAUAC